CCCACCUGGUGUUAAGUGGUUACUGGAGCC
rnacentral:sRNA from 1 species